UACGAAGGGGGCUAGCGUUGCUCGGAAUCACUGGGCGUAAAGCGCACGUAGGCGGAUUGCUAAGUCAGGGGUGAAAUCCUGGAGCUCAACUCCAGAACUGCCCUUGAUACUGGCGGGCUCGAGGCCGGUAGGGGGAAGCGGAAUUCCCGGUGUAGUGGUGGAAUGCGUAGAUAUCGGGAGGAACACCAGUGGCGAAGGCGGCUUCCUGGACCGGGUUCU
rnacentral:rRNA from 1 species